UUCUAGGGCCUAAUACCACAAAUGCACCAGAUUCCAUCUGAUCUUGGAAGCUAAGCAGGGACAGCUUUGGUUAGUACUUUGAUGGGAGGCUGCAACAAAUAACAGGUGUUGUAGGUC
rnacentral:rRNA from 1 species